rnacentral:rRNA from 1 species
UAGUUGGUGGGGUAACGGCCUACCAAGGCGAUGAUGGGUAGCUGGUCUGAGAGGACGAUCAGCCACACUGGGACUGAGACACGGCCCAGACUCCUACGGGAGGCAGCAGUGAGGAAUUUUCCGCAAUGGGCGCAAGCCUGACGGAGCAACGCCGCGUGUGUGAUGAAGUCCUUCGGGAUGUAAAGCACUGUCCGAGGGGAUGAACAAAUGACAGUACCCUCGAAGAAAGCCCCGGCUAACUACGUGCCAGCAGCCGCGGUAAUACGUAGGGGGCAAGCGUUAUCCGGAUUUACUGGGCGUAAAGGGCGUGUAGGUGGUUGCGUGAGUUGGUUGUGAAAUCUCCCGGCUCAACUGGGAAACUGCAGCUAAAACUGCGUGGCUAGAGUGGCAGAGAGGAAAGUGGAAUUCCCGGUGUAGUAGUGAAAUGCGUAGAUAUCGGGAGGAACACCAGCGGCGAAGGCGACUUUCUGGCUGCCAACUGACACUGAAACGCGAAAGCUAGGGUAGCGAACGGGAUUAGAUACCCCGGUAGUCCUAGCCGUAAACGAUGCACGCUAGGUGUUGGUCGUAUUGACGCGAUCAGUGCCGAAGCUAACGCAUUAAGCGUGCCGCCUGGGGAGUACGGUCGCAAGAUUAAAACUCAAAGGAAUUGACGGAAUCGAAUU